rnacentral:rRNA from 1 species
GCCUAAUACAUGCAAGUCGAGCGAACGGACGAGAAGCUUGCUUCUCUGAUGUUAGCGGCGGACGGGUGAGUAACACGUGGAUAACCUACCUAUAAGACUGGGAUAACUUCGGGAAACCGGAGCUAAUACCGGAUAAUAUUUUGAACCGCAUGGUUCAAAAGUGAAAGACGGUCUUGCUGUCACUUAUAGAUGGAUCCGCGCUGCAUUAGCUAGUUGGUAAGGUAACGGCUUACCAAGGCAACGAUGCAUAGCCGACCUGAGAGGGUGAUCGGCCACACUGGAACUGAGACACGGUCCAGACUCCUACGGGAGGCAGCAGUAGGGAAUCUUCCGCAAUGGGCGAAAGCCUGACGGAGCAACGCCGCGUGAGUGAUGAAGGUCUUCGGAUCGUAAAACUCUGUUAUUAGGGAAGAACAUAUGUGUAAGUAACUGUGCACAUCUUGACGGUACCUAAUCAGAAAGCCACGGCUAACUACGUGCCAGCAGCCGCGGUAAUACGUAGGUGGCAAGCGUUAUCCGGAAUUAUUGGGCGUAAAGCGCGCGUAGGCGGUUUUUUAAGUCUGAUGUGAAAGCCCACGGCUCAACCGUGGAGGGUCAUUGGAAACUGGAAAACUUGAGUGCAGAAGAGGAAAGUGGAAUUCCAUGUGUAGCGGUGAAAUGCGCAGAGAUAUGGAGGAACACCAGUGGCGAAGGCGACUUUCUGGUCUGUAACUGACGCUGAUGUGCGAAAGCGUGGGGAUCAAACAGGAUUAGAUACCCUGGUAGUCCACGCCGUAAACGAUGAGUGCUAAGUGUUAGGGGGUUUCCGCCCCUUAGUGCUGCAGCUAACGCAUUAAGCACUCCGCCUGGGGAGUACGACCGCAAGGUUGAAACUCAAAGGAAUUGACGGGGACCCGCACAAGCGGUGGAGCAUGUGGUUUAAUUCGAAGCAACGCGAAGAACCUUACCAAAUCUUGACAUCCUUUGACAACUCUAGAGAUAGAGCCUUCCCCUUCGGGGGACAAAGUGACAGGUGGUGCAUGGUUGUCGUCAGCUCGUGUCGUGAGAUGUUGGGUUAAGUCCCGCAACGAGCGCAACCCUUAAGCUUAGUUGCCAUCAUUAAGUUGGGCACUCUAAGUUGACUGCCGGUGACAAACCGGAGGAAGGUGGGGAUGACGUCAAAUCAUCAUGCCCCUUAUGAUUUGGGCUACACACGUGCUACAAUGGACAAUACAAAGGGCAGCGAAACCGCGAGGUCAAGCAAAUCCCAUAAAGUUGUUCUCAGUUCGGAUUGUAGUCUGCAACUCGACUACAUGAAGCUGGAAUCGCUAGUAAUCGUAGAUCAGCAUGCUACGGUGAAUACGUUCCCGGGUCUUGUACACACCGCCCGUCACACCACGAGAGUUUGUAACACCCGAAGCCGGUGGAGUAACCUUUUAGGAGCUAGCCGUCGAAGGUGGGACAAA